rnacentral:tRNA from 2 species
GUCCCCGUAGUUCAAUGGAUAGAACGGCCGCCUCCUAAGCGGUAAAUCCAGGUUCGAUUCCUGGUGGGGACACCA